ACGGGAGGCAGCAGUGGGGAAUAUUGGACAAUGGGGGCAACCCUGAUCCAGCGACGCCGCGUGAGUGAAGAAGUAUUUCGGUAUGUAAAGCUCUUUAAGCAGGGAAGAUAAUGACGGUACCUGCAGAAUAAGCCCCGGCUAACUACGUGCCAGCAGCCGCGGUAAUACGUAGGGGGCAAGCGUUAUCCGGAUUUACUGGGUGUAAAGGGAGCGUAGACGGCAAACCAAGUCUGAAGUGAAAUGCCGGGGCUCAACCCCGGAACUGCUUUGGAAACUGUAGGACUAGAGUGCAGGAGAGGUAAGUGGAAUUCCUAGUGUAGCGGUGAAAUGCGUAGAUAUUAGGAGGAACACCAGUGGCGAAGGCGGCUUACUGGACUGUAACUGACGUUGAGGCUCGAAAGCGUGGGGAGCAAACAGGAUUAGAUACCCUGGUA
rnacentral:rRNA from 1 species